UCGCCGGGUCCGUGCGACGCUAGCAAGGUGCAUGCGGCAGCGGGGACAAAGUGCAGCGGUGGGGCCCGGGGGCUUCCGCGGCCGCCGGAGGGGACCGCGUCCCCAGGUGCGGGCCCAGGCCCCGGGCGCACGCGCUCCCGGGGGGACCCAGGAGGAGGGACGUCCCCGCUCGGUCCCGGCGCGCUCAGGACUUGCUUCAUGGUCUCCUUUGCAGUCCCGCGUGCGUCCCGAAGGCAGGCUCCAGGUGCGCGUUAGGGACCGCGCGGACGAGCCCAGUAUGAGAAAAUAGGAGCAGAUACAACCAAAAUGCAUGGAGUUAGAUACCAGGAAAGAACUUCAGCAUUUCUAACUCGUGAUCCCUGCUUCAAAUCCUGUACCCGUGUUUUCCUCUCUCCAGUAUGACAUACAAAUUACGGCUCUGUCUUCAUUAUUGACUUUUCCCAGAGACAGAGAGAGGAGCAGGCUCUCCACAGGGAGCCUGAUGUGGGGCUCCAUCCCAGUAUCCCAGGAUCCCAACCUGAGCUGAAGGCAGAUGCUCAACACUGAGGCACCCGCGUGUCCCUGUGUGGCAACAUUUUAAAGCGGCAAGAAGAGCUCCUGGCUGAGGCCAGUGCCCAGAAUGAGGCGGGAUCUGUGCUCUGCCCCAAAACUCAGACCCUACCGGUGAUCAUCAACAUUCUCUGGAGACAGUAAUGGAGAGCUAAAUUUUCACUCCUGGCACCACGACUUACUCGGCUGUGGGAUCACUUCUCUGUGACAGUUCUCUUUUCUGGAAAUGAGGUUAAUGAUACCUACCUCUCGUACAGCACAGUGAAUCUAGACAACGAGAGUGUACUGUAAUCAUCAGACUUGCUAAGAGACUGGAAUUUAAUCAUUCCAUGAUUAGAAAGAAUAAUUAGGUGAGGUGAUGAAGGUGCUAAUUGUUGAUCCAGUGGCAAUCGUAUUACAAUGUGAGUGUGUCAAAUUGACAUUUUGUACUAUUUAAAUAUAUGCAAUGUUACAGGCCAAAUAUAUUGUAAUGACAAAAAGUAAUAAAAAUACCCACCUCACAGGGUUGCUGAAUGGA